UUCGCCAACUAAUGGGCAGCUAAACUUUUUAACUCAAUCGCAGAACCAAAACUGCGUAAGUGGCGAAGUGUUUCAAGGAAACAUUUUGUGCUGAGAAUGUGGCUGAAAGCAAGUACGCAAUCAGUCUGCAAAACACAUAGGGUAAACAAAUUUAGGCAAAAGUCGAUAGGACAGCACUCCUGUCGACUUUUU
ncrna:unclassified sequences FuFi-1 RNA